UACGAAGGGGGCUAGCGUUGCUCGGAAUCACUGGGCGUAAAGGGUGCGUAGGCGGGUCUUUAAGUCAGGGGUGAAAUCCUGGAGCUCAACUCCAGAACUGCCUUUGAUACUGAAGGAUCUUGAGUUCGGGAGAGGUGAGUGGAACUGCGAGUGUAGAGGUGAAAUUCGUAGAUAUUCGCAAGAACACCAGUGGCGAAGGCGGCUCACUGGCCCGAUACUGACGCUGAGCACGAAGCGUGG
rnacentral:rRNA from 1 species